rnacentral:rRNA from 1 species
UGCGCAGGCGGGGCAAUAAGUCAGUGGUGAAAUCCUGCGGCUUAACCGUAGAACUGCCAUUGAUACUGUUGCCCUUGAGUAUAGUUGAGGUGGGCGGAAUAUGUAAUGUAGCGGUGAAAUGCAUAGAUAUUACAUAGAACACCAAUUGCGAAGGCAGCUCACUAAGCUAUCAUUGACGCUGAGGCACGAAAGCGUGGGGAGCGAACAGGAUUAGAUACCCUGGUAGUCC